UACGUAGGGUGCAAGCGUUAAUCGGAAUUACUGGGCGUAAAGCGUGCGCAGGCGGUGAUGUAAGACAGAUGUGAAAUCCCCGGGCUCAACCUGGGAACUGCAUUUGUGACUGCAUCGCUGGAGUGCGGCAGAGGGGGAUGGAAUUCCGCGUGUAGCAGUGAAAUGCGUAGAUAUGCGGAGGAACACCGAUGGCGAAGGCAAUCCCCUGGGCCAGCACUGACGCUCAUGCACGAAAGCGUGGGGAGCAAACAGG
rnacentral:rRNA from 1 species